UACGUAGGUGGCAAGCGUUGUCCGGAAUUAUUGGGCGUAAAGCGCGCGCAGGCGGCUUCUUAAGUCUGAUGUGAGAUCUCGGGGCUCAACCCCGAGCGGCCAUUGGAAACUGGGAAGCUUGAGUACAGAAGAGGAGAGUGGAAUUCCACGUGUAGCGGUGAAAUGCGUAGAUAUGUGGAGGAACACCAGUGGCGAAGGCGACUCUCUGGUCUGUAACUGACGCUGAGGCGCGAAAGCGUGGGGAGCAAACAGG
rnacentral:rRNA from 1 species